rnacentral:lncRNA from 1 species
GCUGGGAAUUUGAUCAUGGUGUCAUGACUAUUGUGUCUUUUGUUUUAAUUUCUUACUGGAGAACAUUUUCCUACUCUGUUUUAUUAACUGCUUGCUGUGAGCCAAACACUGUUCUAUUUGGAGGAAAAGCAACAAUACUUGUAUUCUAGCGGUUUUGCUGAUGGUCUGCUAGUCAGCUUUCAUUUCUGUAACAAUGUUGCUAAGAAGCUUUUUAUAAAGAGAAAAGGUUUAUAUUGCCUCACAGUUUGGGAGGUUUCAGGUGGUGGUCAUUUGCCUCUAUUGUUUUUUAGCCUGUGUUGAGGAAACAAGUGCAUGUGGUGGAGCAAAGCUACUUACUUCAUGCCUCGGACAGGAAAAAGAGAUAAAGAAAGAAUUCAGGGUCCCAGCAUCAACUUUUAAAUACACUUCAGUGACCUAAGACAUCUCUCUAAUCCCUCCUCUUAAAGACACCCUCUAUCAACUUCCAAUAGCACUAUGGAGGAGGGACUGAGCUCAUACUCACAGCCUUUGAGGACAUGUGGGACCUACACUCUAGCAGAUAAUAAACAGAUAAGGGGAGUAUAAAGGGAAGAAGAAUCCAACCCACAGUCUUGGCCCUGACUCUGCUUCUAUCUGGCAUUCUCAUCACCCAGGAUUACCCAAGUUUCCUCUGCACCACUCUAUACAUUGCCAGACAUGGAAAGCAUCCAUGCAGAUGUAUUUGUCAGUAAAUAAGCAGUGCAGUGUUUUGCUUCAUCCAUUUCAGAAGAAAACAUUUACAUGAAUCCCCCUUUUCUUUCUUCCCCUCUCAGUGGCCUAAACCUGGCACCAGUGGCAAGACUGUGAGCAACCUGGGAAAAACUUCCCAAUAAAUAUGAAAAGCUAUUUCAGGAUCUCCAAGACCUAUUUGACCCUUCCAGGAACAUAGAAAAAUACUGUGAUGUUCUCAAAAGUCAAAACCUGCAACCUCCCAUAAUUCCCCUAUUCCCAGUUAUCAAGGAGGUUCUCACAUUCCUUCAUGAAGGUAAAUGCAAGGUAUGGGAGUUCCACCUUCACUUGUAGCAGUAUAUAAUAGAUGCCAUGUGAUUUCCAUUUUCUUAUUGCCAACUACAGGAAAUGAUUCAAACCUAGAUGGGCUGGUCAACUUUGAGAAGCUAAGGGUGAUUGCAAAAGAGAUCCGGCAAGUUGGCUGAAUGGCUUCAGUUAAUGUUGACCCAGAUCUCAUGUUCAGGACUCCGUGAGAGAUUCACCUCCAGUGGCACUUUCAGGACUAGAGGGCUUAAGCUUAGAGUUUUCAUACUAAUGAAGAAAUUUUACAUAUUUAUAUCUGCAGAAUUGCAGAUAUUAUAUUAGGAUGUAUCAAGAAUCACCAUCAAAAAAUUCAUUUUGGAGUAGAUGUCUUACUUGGCAUCAUGUGUAAUUUUGACUAUUCGUAAAAAGUUUGUCCUUCAACUAUUUUUAAGUAAACAUGAAUCACAGAUAGUUAUUCCUUAUUUAUUAGAACACUUUCUUAUAAAUAUGUAAAUAUCCCAAACAGUAUUGUCUCCUUAUUCACAUGAUAGAUUUAGAUGUCACCUUAGUAAAAAAUGACUAGGAGACAAAAUAAGUCAAUAUUUUUCUAGAACAAAAAUAAAUAUGUUUGUCUUUUGAACCAGAAAAAUUGUGUCUAGUAAGGUGGUGUGUGUGGGAUGAUUAUGCAGUUUAAUGUUUGUGGACUUGUAGAAGGGCUUAUGCAGAAGUUUAGACCUUUAUUUCUGAACAUGUUAUCUCCGUGUCUAUUUCUGCCCUUGUGCUUCAAUCUCCGUGGCUCUCAUGUAAAGGAAGAAGAAAUGGGAGAAGAGUUUGGGAUGAGUGGUGGAGGACUUGCAUAGCCACACAUAGUUCUUGCUCAGUUCAUUGCAUUAUUUUCCUACCUGCUAUAUUUUUUGACAAUUUGCAUUGUUUGAAAUCUCUUUCCCUAACAGAAUUUUAGAUGUCAAACUGACUUCAAGUUUAAUCUGUUGGGGCCUGUGCUUUUGAAGUCAUGAUCCAUGAGAUCUGUGAAAUGAUUGAUGAUUAUUUCAGGAACUAUGAUCAGACAUAUUUCCAGGCUCUCAGAAAACAAAUUAAUACAAUCUGUGCCUUGAAAUGAGGAGAGCCCAAAGGAGGGAAGGGAAGAAGAAUAUUAGAAAGAAAAAUUGUGCAUUUUAAAUACUAUUGCACAGAUAUUUUAGUACAUAUGAAUAAAAUAACAGGUGCCCGCAGAGUUAAAAUCAUGUUUACAGGUUAAUGAAAUACAGUUUCCAUUGUAUAAAAAACAAUGUUUUUAAAAAAGUAAUUUUUAACAAUUCAUGUGCUAAAUAGUUUAUGUAUGUAGAUGAUGACAUUUGCAUGAUUUUUAUAUUAACAGAUUUAUUAUAUUAUUAUAAAAACUCAUCACCUUCAACACAAGGAAUAUGAAAACAAUUGAGAAUAGUGGAGCUAAUUUUAUUUGAAUCUUUAAAACACCAUUUUUAGGAGAUGUAAAUAUAAUACAAAGCUUAAUGAUUAUAGCCUUGAAUUCUUGCAUAAGCUUUAUUACAUAAUUGUUUACUGUCUUCUAUAUAAACAUUUGAAUGCUCUGUAGAGGAGAAUAUUAGAAUUUCCUAAUUGAAUCAGAACGAGUGCCAAACACAUUGUUCUGUAUGUAUUGUGUGUAAUUCUUUUUAAACAAACAAACAAAAAAAACAUUUAUCAUCUGCAGUAUUCUUUGAUCCAUUUAACAGUUUGCUUAGGGAAUGAGGCAUGUGACCUUUCAAAUGUAGAAUACAUAUGUAGUUUCUGGAAGUUUCCAAUAGAUAAAAUCACUCCAUGCUCAAGUGAGUUGCAUAUGGACCUUUCCAUCCUUCAGAUCUCUCAGCCAGGGUAGAAAAAAUGCAACAGUGCUGGAGGUGGCUCAGACAGGUGGUCCUAAAAUGUGGGCAUGCCGAAGUUCCUUAAUCAACACCAAAAAGCUUUAUGAAGAUGGGCAGAUAGCUCAUCUGUGAAGCAGUACCUGUGAAAGUGAAGCAGUACCUGUCCAAUCUGGAGCUGGAGAUGGAUGAGGAGAGUCUUCACGUGAUGUCUCUGCAGUGUGAGCCAGCAACCAACACACGUGAGUUUUUCUGGAAAUGGUUGCAGACUCCGACUGCCAUGUGUGUUUCUUUCCUGUGCAGUGACAUGCAUGGUGACAGGAUAAGGCCCAGUGUAGACAAGUAGGUUUCUAGUCUUCAAGUGCACUAACCUUUCCCCUGUCCUUGAUGAAUCCUUUGUGUCCAGCUGAGUUAGUGUAUGGAGGACAAGAC